rfam:Ixodes scapularis strain Wikel colony gcontig_1107729082346, whole genome shotgun sequence.
UCUUGGUUAGCUCAGUUGGUAGAGCGCUCCACUAAUAAUGGAGAGGUCCCUAAUCCGAUACCAGGACCAGGCG